UAUAUAUAUAUAUAUAUAUAUAUAUAUAUAUAUAUAUAUAUAUAUACAUAAAUACUCAUCCAAACCUUUACUUUCAAAAUGAUUUUUGAUGCCAGUCCUUGAAACAACAUCAGUUUACCACUUGACACAGAGACACCUGACAGCAUGUGCAGUAGAUUGGGACUUUUGUGCUGCCAUUCACACAACUUCUCCUGCCUUUUGUAGCAGUGGCCCCACAAAGGUUUAGUGUGUAUUUAUUUAUUUUUAAGUGUGGCUUUUUUUCUUGUAUUUUACAUCUGGAAUAAACAGAGUACAGUUAGGUCCAUAAAUAUUUGGACAGAGACAACUUUUUUCUAAUUGUGGUUCUGUACCACAAUGAAUUUUAAAUGAAACAACUCAGAUGCAGUUGAAGUGCAGACUUUCAGCUUUAAUUCAGUGGGGUGAACAAAACGAUUGCAUAAAAAUGUGAGGCAACUAAAGCAUUUUUUAACACAAUAAAAGGCCUGGAGUUGGACUUAUUCACAGUAUAAUCCUCUCUACCCCCCCAUUGAUGGGAAUGACAUGACAGCACCUUCCUUCUCCUGGUUCUUUGAUUAUAUUUCCCCUCUUGUAAUUUCACUAGUUUCUACAUUGGGGUGAAUAAGGUAUUUAAGCAAGCACGAUUAGAAAUAGGAUAAAUAUUGCACAGCAUUAUCGACUCCUUUGAUGAGAGGGUGGUGGGAGAGAGGAUUACACCGUGAACAAAUCACAAGCUCAAGUGUCUUUUUUUUUGUUUUUUAUUUUUUUUUGUGUUCACUACCCAGUAAUGCAAGCAUCAUAUUACAGAUACAAUGACAGUCGAUGGAGGGGUGGGUUGGGUGCUGCUUUACCUCACAUGAAACGUCUGAGUUGAGCAGGUAUGGUGUUUCAGUACUCACUAGUAUGCUAAGAAACAUUGGAGGUACUCUUAAGUUGAAACUGGAAGAGCUCUUCUCAGAAAACUAACAAAGGGAGUAUGUGCAGCAGAUAGCGUCCAGGUGUGGUAAUUGAAUCCAUGACGCUUGAACUGUAAAGGUGCACGCCACAAUGCUUCAAAGUUAUACUGUACAGUACUUCCAAGUCAAGUAUAGCAAUGAGUCCUUCAGCAAAUGCAACUUUCUUAAAACACUCAUAACUUUGAUCAGAAUCUGACUCAAGCUUUGUGUGUGAUGAUGUGUAAAGAUGAGUUGUCACAGAAUCAAAAUUAUGGCCUGCUUUUUACGCACAGUUGUGACAUGUAGUACAAAUGACCAGUCAUAGACAGUUAUACAUCACUGGAAUGCUUUAAACCUCAGCUAUCCACUGGUAAUGAGUCUUUGACAGUGUGCGGCUUGACGUCGGUGAGAUCUUUGAUAAAAGCAGAUUCACUCAUGCUAUGAAGUGCCAGUUGCUUUGGCUUAUACAUAUGCAAAUUGAAUAUUGUAAUUAUGAAAGAGAGCAGACAAUACGUAAAGUUAUAACUUGCCUGAAAAAAAAACACCCUUGGGUAUGUAAAAACACCAUUGCUUUUGAUUGACUUCUGGGUUUAUUGCAACAUAUUCAGUACAAACAACUUUGAAGUAUGGCUGUGUCCUGCUGCAGCAGGGUACCUCUUGUGAAUUUCCCCUUGGGAUUAAUAAAGUAUCUAUCUAUCUAUCUAUCUAUCUAUCUAUCUAUCUAUCUAUCUAUCUAUCUGUCUGUCUGUCUGUCUGUCUGUCUGUCUGUCUGUCUGUCUGUCUGUCUGUCUGUCUGUCUGUCUGUCUGUCUGUCUGUCUGUCUGUCUGUCUGUCUGUCUGUCUAUCUAUCUAUCUAUCUAUCUAUCUAUCUAUCUAUCUAUCUAUCUAUCUAUCUAUCUAUCUAUCUAUCUAUCUAUCUAUCUAUCUAUCUAUCUAUCUUGCAUAAAAGACUAAUGGGCCACUUUAUGAAUGAGGAUAACGUAAACUUGCCUACAGAAAAGCAUAAUAAGUCAGCUGAAAAACAUUUGAUUGGCAAUGCUUUCAUUAAAGGUGGCAUUUUUGGUCUUUACUUGGAUGAAAUAAAGCUGUGAAAUGUAGUAUGAAGUCAAACAUAAUAUGAUAACAGGCUUUGUCCUUAUUGUUUAUUACAUUAUCAAACACAAGUCAGACACCUAUUGUUUCUAUGACAAACACACUCUGUAGAAAACAAAAUCACACUUUAAUAAAGAAGACGUUAAAAGUAAAAGUAAAGCCUGCUGCAACUUAGAACACAGAUUCUUCAAAAGUUUUAAAGAACAUAGAAAUAUGAUCAACUUAAUACAUUUGUGAUUAUUAGUUUAAAUUAUUUCAAUAAACCUAACAGUUGAUAUAUAAAAUACAAUAAUACCAAUACAUUAACACAUUUCCUCAUGAAAAUGAUAUAAUGUUAAGGUAAAUCUUAGUAUAUCUAAGUAUGUCUUGAUGUGACUUUAACAUAUUCGGAGUCAGUGACCACACUUAGCUCAAGAGUCAGCCAGUAUAAGCAGCGCUUAGCUUAACGAGUAGAUUGGAAAGCACAAACAAUAUAUCAUGAAGGAUUUAACAAGCUUCUUUAGUUAUGAUGGAUUUUGAAAAACAUAAUUAAAUUAACAGUUAAUCUUAGGCUGAAGUUUAUGAUGUUUUUAAUAAUACAAUGCUUUUGGAAAAUGUGCUCCAAAUGAGUUAAAUUAAUUAAUAUUCCGUGGACUUGUUUAGCUGUUGAGGUAUAGACGCUUGCGUCUGGUAUGAGAAGGCUCAUGUGAAAAUAAACCACCUUUGAAAAUGUCGUCAGGGGUAUUUAAGGCAAUUUCGUUUCCUUUUGAGAUCAGAAAUCUUCUGAAUCCCUUUUAUGUUGUCUGGAUAGUUAAACAGCCAAAUGUGUCCCUUAAAGAUAUGAGUCUCUGAUCUCUUAACUGUACUUUGUUCUUAAAGGGUAAACACACAUAACGCUUACACACCAACCUGUUUGAACACUUUUCGUUUAAAUUUUAAAAUACAAAUUGUGGCGUUGUAUAUAGCAGUCUUAAAUGACUUUAUUAGAAUGCUGUUUUAUAUAUUGCAUAUUAAAUGAGACGCUGAAGCCAUAUAGCACAUGCAAAACAAACAUUAUCUAUAAGAAAAGUCAAGUCAUUGUGAGAAAACUUCAGACCUGUGUCUGGGACUGAACAAGACUUGAUGUUGAUGGCUGACUGGUGGACCUGUCAGGCUAAUCAUUUUGGCAGCAUUAAUAGUUGAAUGGGCUACUCAUAGUUGUUGCUUUCGACAAAAGUUCUGAGAAAAAAUCCCACUAUUAGUAUCAACAUAUGUCACUUUUGGAAUUCUCUUUAUUAGGGGUAGAUCAACUGUGUCGAAAUAAAACGACUGUAGAACCAAAGAGAAUAGAAUAAAAACAUACCGUGACAAAAGCUUGAGGCUUGUUUUUGCUUGUGUGGGGUGCACUGAGCUGUGUGGUGCACCUCAGCCUGACGGUGUGACUGCAAAUGUCCCUCCUCCUCUUCAGCAUCACUUCACUUUUAGUGCUGCAGCCAAAGGCUCGCUCUUUUGUACCGAUGCCCUCAUUGGAACUUGGCGCUAGCGCAGCUUUGUCAUUGAAAGGCCUGUGCUGCGGAUGCAACACUGAACUCCAGAUUGGAGAAUUUCUGAGAGUCUCAUCUUCAAACCACAGCAUAGCAGUGACAAUUACAACAAGCAGCUAAAGGAUGUUUACAGUUGUGAGUACAUCAAACACAGUUUAUUCUUGUAUUAUUAAUUAUUGUAUUAUUUAUCUGUAUUAUUAGUCUUCUUUAUUCUACAUAUUAUUAUUGUUAUUAGCAAGUAGACUGCAAGAAUGCAUAAUUUGAGUGGCAAUUUGAGCACUGUGCUAUUCUUUUGAGUUAAUAAAAGUUUAAGCUGUUGUAAUAAUCAUAACCUGCAUAUUUUUUUUCCAUAUGAAUAACUGUAAACCUACUUUUUCUCACCCCUGUCUUCUUGUGAUUGACGCCGUUCUUCUGGGUUGAAGGCACUGUGAUUAAUUUUAUCCAUUAAGUUAAACUGUAGUUAAGGUAUUUGUUUCUUUAAAUACUGGCAGCAUCAGUCUAAAUUAUGUUUUGAAUGUCUAAAACAGAACUAUAACUACAGAUAUCUCAGACUCCUUAGAAGCUCAAGGGAAGGUCCUGCGGUUGUAUACUUCACAAAGUACGUUUUAGAUGUUUCAUAUUUGUCCUCUGACUAGUCAAUAAUGAGUUUCAGAUUCCUGUAAUUCUUACUGAUGUGUGUACCAAGACAUUUUAACACGAAUUCCUGUUCAUUCUUGCCAGUUCAUACUUUUGAUGUAUAUAAUAUUUUUUACUAAUCCAAAUUCUAAUUACAGACGUCUGGCUAAUUAGAGUUUAAGUUGCCGUAUCUCCAGUUCCAAUUUUGGGACUAGUCCAGUUGACUUUUCACCGUCAUUAGUGUUACAGAUGUAAAGAAAUAUAUAAAAGGUCAUUUUAACCGGUCAAAAUAUAAAUAGAAAUAUUUCUGAUUGAAUUCCCAUAGAAGUCAUUUAGAAAACUUUUACAACAUAAACCAAAAUGUCAGGUUGUUUCUUUGACUAAUCCUAAUUAUAUUCUGACAAUUCAAAGUUACAUUUUAGUAUGUCUAACAAUGUAAUUUAAAUUAGAAUUCUUCCUAGUGAAAUUAAUUUGUGAAAGUUUCAUAUGUGAUUACAGAGGCCUGCAAGUCAGAUUCCAGCUAGCCAAAAAAUAAUUGCACGCCUCUUUAAUUGGAAUUUUGACUCAUCAGAAGAUCAGAAGCAGGAACUGGCACGACUAAAACAGGAAUUGCCAGGAAACGUUGCAUGUUGAAACAUCUCUGUGCACACAUCCUCUAGUAGCUUCAAUUUUAAACAUUUAAAGGUUGAGAUUUUAUUCACACACCGCUUUGUUAAUGCUACGCUCUGCAACAAUACAUGUAAUGCUCAUUAAUAAAUAAAAUUGUUGUUAACCUUGG